rnacentral:rRNA from 1 species
UUAGAGUUUGAUCCUGGCUCAGGACGAACGCUGGCGGCGUGCCUAAUGCAUGCAAGUCGAACGCAGCAGCUUCGGCUGGCUGCGUGGCGAACGGCUGAGGAACACGUGGGUGACCUGCCCCGGAGUGGGGGAUACCCCGUCGAAAGACGGGAUAAUCCCGCAUACGCUCUACGGAGGAAAGCCCCUACGGGCGCUCUGGGAGGGGCCUGCGGCCCAUCAGGUUGUUGGUGUGGUAACGGCGCACCAAGCCACUGACGGGUACCCGGUCUGAGAGGACGGCCGGGCAGACUGGGACUGCGACACGGCCCAGACUCCUACGGGAGGCAGCAGCAAGGAAUUUUCCCCAAUGGGCGCAAGCCUGAGGGAGCAACGCCGCGUGGAGGACGACGGCCUUCGGGUUGUAAACUCCUUUCGGGUGGGACGACAGCGACGGUACCACCAGAAGCAGCCCCGGCUAACUCUGUGCCAGCAGCCGCGGUAAGACAGAGGGGGCAAGCGUUGUCCGGAGUUACUGGGCGUAAAGGGCGCGGAGGCGGCCUGCGGCGUCGGCGCUGAAAGCGCCCCGCUUAACGGGGCGAGGCGUGCCGAUACGCGCAGGCUCGAGGCGAGCAGAGGGUGGUGGAAUUCCGGGUGGAGCGGUGAAAUGCGUAGAGAUCCGGAGGAACGCCAGUGGGGAAGCCGGCCACCUGGGCUCGGCCUGACGCUGCGGCGCGACAGCGUGGGAGCAAACCGGAUUAGAUACCC